GUUCCCUCCUCUCUCUCGGUUUCCUCCUCUCUCUCGGUUUCCUCCUCUCUCUCGGUUUCCUCCUCUCUCUCGGGUUCCUCCUCUCUCUCGGUUUCCUCCUCUCUCUCGGUUUCUUCCUCUCUCUCGGUUUCUUCCUCUUUCGGUUUCUUCCUCUCUCUGUUACUUCCUCUCUCUCGGUUACUUCCUCUCUCUCGGUUUCUUCCUCUCUCGGUUUCCUCCUCUCUCUCGGUUUCCUCCUCUCGGUUUCCUCCUCUCGGUUUCUUCUCUCUCUCGGUUUCUUCUCUCUCUCGGUUUCUUCCUCUCUCUCGGUUUCCUCCUCUCUCUCGGUUUCUUCUCUCUCUCGUUACCUCCUCUCUCGGUUACUUCCUCUCUCGGUUACUUCCUCUCUCUCGGUUUCCUCCUCUCUCUCGGUUUCUUCCUCUCUCUCGGUUCCUUCCUCUCUCUGGUUUCUUCCUCUCUCUCGGUUCCUUCCUCUCUCUGGUUUCUUCCUCUCUCUCGGUUCCUUCCUCUCUCUCGGUUUCUGCCUCUCUCUCGGUUUCUGCCUCUCUCUCGUUUUUUUCCUCUCUCUCGGUUUCUUCCUCUCUCGGUAUUUUCC
ensembl:lncRNA